UACGAAGGGGGCUAGCGUUGUUCGGAUUUACUGGGCGUAAAGCGCACGUAGGCGGAUCGAUCAGUCAGGGGUGAAAUCCCAGGGCUCAACCCUGGAACUGCCUUUGAUACUGUCGAUCUGGAGUAUGGAAGAGGUGAGUGGAAUUCCGAGUGUAGACGUGAAAUUCGUAGAUAUUCGGAGGAACACCAGUGGCGAAGGCGGCUCACUGGUCCAUUACUGACGCUGAGGUGCGAAAGCGUGGGGAGCAAACAGG
rnacentral:rRNA from 1 species